rnacentral:rRNA from 1 species
CCUACGGGUGGCAGCAGUGAGGAAUAUUGGUCAAUGGACGAGAGUCUGAACCAGCCAAGUAGCGUGAAGGAUGACUGCCCUAUGGGUUGUAAACUUCUUUUAUAUGGGAAUAAAACGUUCCACGUGUGGGAUUUUGUAUGUACCAUAUGAAUAAGGAUCGGCUAACUCCGUGCCAGCAGCCGCGGUAAUACGGAGGAUCCGAGCGUUACCCGGAUUUAUUGGGUUUAAAGGGAGCGUAGGUGGAUUGUUAAGUCAGUUGUGAAAGUUUGCGGCUCAACCGUAAAAUUGCAGUUGAAACUGGCAGUCUUGAGUGCAGUAGAGGUGGGCGGAAUUCGUGGUGUAGCGGUGAAAUGCUUAGAUAUCACGAAGAACUCCGAUUGCGAAGGCAGUUCACUGGACUGCAACUGACACUGAGGCUCGAAAGUGUGGGUAUCAAACAGGAUUAGAUACCCCUGUAGUC